rnacentral:misc_RNA from 1 species
AGCUUGCUGUCAGAACCUAACAAGUGCAAACUUCCUUGUUCGGUGUCGAAUCAUAGAGUGUCCAGGGACAAAGCUAACCUUUUUAUGACAGUUGCUGAUUGUCAUGAAAUCAGGAUAGGGAAGAGUUUUUCUUCGACAGUUGUAGGUAAUGGGAAUUGUUUGAUUGCUAGUGAGGUAGAAGAUGGUAGAUCUAUGGACAACAAUUUGAUUUCACCAACUGAUGAGCUUUUAGGAAAUAUGACUUGUUCUGAUUCUCUAGUUGAUGAGCGUGUCAGCAUGCCUAACCAAGAAUGUACAGGUUUGGAGGUUAAGGUUGGGAAAAUGCCUCCUCGGGAUGAGGAAAAGAAGGUUGGUGUAUCCCAGAUUCUGAGAAAGUCUUUUUCGUGUAGUUUGGCUAAUGAGUUGGUUAAUGAGUCACAACUUGUAAGUGAUAUUGUUUCCACCAUGGUUGUGGGUGCUGAAGAUUAUAAAAGAAAAUUAUCACCAUCCCAUCUUGAGACCUCACAAGAGAUAAAGAUAAGCAGGCCAAAUACCCUUUGUUUUGAUUCUGUACCGCUUUGGGGGCUCAUCACAAUACAAGGAAAGAGGCCGGAGAUGGAAGAUACUGCUAUAGCUUUACCAAAGUUUCUGAAAAUCCCUUCCCAUAUUUUGACUGAUGCGCCAGUUUCUCAUGCCCUGAGUCAAACACUUACAGCCCAUUUAUAUGGGGUUUAUGAUGGACAUGGAGGCUCUCAGGUAGCUAAUUAUUGUCAUGAGCGUCUCCAUAUGGUUUUAGCACAGGAGAUAGAUAUCAU